rnacentral:lncRNA from 1 species
AAAAAAAUUAAGAGUUGGAGUGGAAAUUUCAGUUAGGCAGUAGCUAGUUAAUCCACAUAUAGAAAUUAGAGUGUUUAAGUCAAUUUGAGGGGAAGGGGAGGAGUGAUUUUGUGAGAUAGAGGUGAGGUGCAUAUUUAGACUGCUAGUACCACUUAGUCAAGCCACUUUAGACUUGUUAGAAACAUUAAACCAACCAAAAACAGAAUACAAAUGGUAGAUUUGAAUUUGACCCCAUGAGUAAAGGAAAUUGAGUUAUUUGAUCCAAAUUUUCUGCAUAAUUGUUAGAGAUUAGUGUUUGGAUUGGAAUUGGACCCUUAGGCAAGUUAGAUUCAACCUAUACUUC